rnacentral:lncRNA from 1 species
GGAUUAUAUGGACUUGUAACCAGAGUUAGAUAAUUUGCCACUACUUCAUUGUGAAUUUUUGGCAGGCGAUAGUAGGCAUUAGCCAUCAAGUAAUUUAAAUUUGGCAAUUAAUAGGUACUAUCUCUCUCUCACACACACAUCAAUGCAAUUAAUAGGUAUAUAUGUCUACGAUUCAAUUAUUAAGCACGUAACAAAAGAACCCAAAAAAAAAAUAAAAAAAUUUGGAACACAAAACCUUUCAACUAAUCAGAUUUGAAUCCUCUCUAUUUUGAUUCUCUUUGUUUAAUUGUUUGAAUUACAUAAAAAUUGAUUUUUAAAAGCAUGGUCGUUUUUGAGAUUUUGGUAGCUCAUAGCGAAAAAUAAAAGCGAGGUCCUUUUCAAAAUUAAUAUUGUCUUCACAAAAAAAAUUAAAAUAAAUAAAAAAAAAGUACAGGUUAUAUCUAAAAAAAUGUCUUUCUAAAACUUAAAACAUAAUAGUUGGACUACAAUAAAAUAUAUAAGAAUUUCGACUACAACAAAAUAUAUGAGAAUGCAUUCAUUGAAAGAUACUUCUUCGAGUAAUAAUUUCUAGAGGCAAAAUUUUCAAUCAAAUGUUCAAAAUCAAGUUUGACCAGCAUAUCCUUCUCGAUGCACAUGGUUGCGAACCAAUUGAACCUUUCUUGUGUCGUAGUCGACCGUAAGUAAUUUUUUAACAAUUUCAACUUUAAAAAAUUUCUUUCAGCAAAUGUCACUGCAUGUCACAAGAAUAGUUAGUAAUACCCUGUAAGCUAAAACAUUAGGAAAACAAUCCAAAACUUUUAAAAACUUCAAAAAAUUAAUUUCAACUGCUGACUCUAUUUUUCUUGACAAAGUCACACACACACACACACACACACACACACACACACAUAUAUAUAUAUAUAUAUAUAUAUAUAUAUAUAUAUAUAUAUAUAUAUAGCUUGUUUCGGGCGCAUAUCCCUUUAUUUUAUAUACCCUGCUCACCAUUUGUAGCGACGGACCGGGCGACGGUUUGGUCCGUCGCUAUAGAACAAAUAAACGGUUUAUAUAGUAUGGCGACAGUUCGAUGCGUCACUAAAAGCUAAGACGACGGUUCUCUAAUAUAUAUACGCGACGAACCGAACUGUCGCGCCUGGUCCGUCGCUAAAGGUGGUGAGCANNNNNNNNNNNNNNNNNNNNNNNNNNNNNNNNNNNNNNNNNNNNNNNNNNNNNNNNNNNNNNNNNNNNNNNNNNNNNNNNNNNNNNNNNNNNNNNNNNNNAUAUAUAUAUAUAUAUAUAUAUAUAUAUUGGGUCCCCUAUUCGAGGGCUCAGGACAGUAGACCCUUACGCCCGUGUUCAGGAACGAUCAUAUUUAGAAGGCUCGAAAUGAUUGGGAAAGAUCAAACUUUAGAAUUAAGUUCAACGACAUGCAUGCAUUACCGUCACUAUAAGAAGGAAAAGCUAUUACAAAAUUGAAUUUCAUAGUUUGUUAGAGGGAGGGAUAGUAUUAUAUAACUAGUGUCGCAAUAUCUCAAAGAUUAGUUGGGUAAUUAUAUUUUCAGUUAUUUAUUUUUCAAAAUUGACAUUUAAGUUUGUAAUGGAGAGAAUGUAUUUUGAUCCCUUGUGCAAGUAAUCCAUUUAAUUCUUGUAAAUCAGACAUAUAUAUGCAGUCACAUGGUAUGACUCAGAUGAUAAAAUUUCAAGAUUAAGCUUGCAGAAUUAAAUAAUCAAAAGGGACCUCUAAUUAGUAAUUGUAGUAUCUAGUGCUACAUGUGGAAGACAAAAAAGAUCUAAUCUCCCAAAAUAAAUUAGAAACUAAGUUGGAUCAAGUAAUUAUUCCAACUUGACGUACAAUGGGAGUUAAUAUUAGCGGGAAAAAAUUAUUGCCAUAGGGCAUUCAAUUGUUUGUAUACGAACAAAUCUACUCCUAACAUUUAACUUUGAUUAUGGCAAUUGUGGUUGGCGGAACUAGAACCCUUUUGUAGGAGGGUCAAAAUUUUUAAACCAAACGAAUCGAAAUUAUUAAUACCACCACUUGUUUCGGAACUUGGUAAUUGAUUAUUAGAAGAAUUAAGCGAGUAUUUAUCCAUAAUCUAGUAUAAAUAAAAAACAUCAAUUGCUAAUCAAUAAUUUCAUCAAUUUAAACAUUUCAUAAUAAUUUCAUCAUUCAUCAAUUCAAUUAUUCAAACCUUUUAUCAUAAUUUUAUCAAUUAACCUAAACAAUUAACUUUUGGUUGUGUUUGGACCAAAAAUGGUACCACAACAGAUACUCAGUUUCAGUGUGUUUGUUUGUGAAUCAAUCUCUUGAACUUGUAUGUUUGUUUUCUAAAUUUCAGUUUAAUUUUUUUACCACCCUUCUUUACAACCUGCAAAAUUCCCAAUUACUUCGUGUAAAAAAAAAUAGUUCAAUUUGACAAAGAAAAAAAUAAUUAAAAAAUGUUGCACAAAAAGAGUAUAAUAGCAGCAACUAACAAAACCAAAUUAUAUUCCACAAAGAGUAAUUAAUAGCAGCAAAAGUAAUUGAACUGUCUAGCUAAAUAACAAUUAACAAAACAGUUAGUAAUUCAAGAAAAAUUUGCUUCAAAGUUCAAAUCAAAAAAAAUAAACCUGAUGAGUGAUUGAUGAGUGAUGAGGUGAAGAGGAGAGGAGGACUGGAGGAACAGUGCAGGAGCAGCUGAGCUGGAGCAGUGCAGGAGCAGACGAGCAGAUCUGUACGCGAAAGAUGCGAAGAGACAUGAUUAGGAACUCAGAGGUGAGACUUUGAG